rnacentral:rRNA from 1 species
GGGUUGUGAGGUUAAGCGACUAAGCGUACACGGUGGAUGCCCUGGCAGUCAGAGGCGAUGAAGGACGUGCUAAUCUGCGAUAAGCGUCGGUAAGGUGAUAUGAACCGUUAUAACCGGCGAUUUCCGAAUGGGGAAACCCAGUGUGAUUCGUCACACUAUCAUUAACUGAAUCCAUAGGUUAAUGAGGCGAACCGGGGGAACUGAAACAUCUAAGUACCCCGAGGAAAAGAAAUCAACCGAGAUUCCCCCAGUAGCGGCGAGCGAACGGGGAGGAGCCCAGAGCCUGAAUCAGUGUGUGUGUUAGUGGAAGCGUUUGGAAAGGCGCGCGAUACAGGGUGACAGCCCCGUACACAAAAAUGCACAUGCUGUGAGCUCGAUGAGUAGGGCGGGACACGUGGUAUCCUGUCUGAAUAUGGGGGGACCAUCCUCCAAGGCUAAAUACUCCUGACUGACCGAUAGUGAACCAGUACCGUGAGGGAAAGGCGAAAAGAACCCCGGCGAGGGGAGUGAAAAAGAACCUGAAACCGUGUACGUACAAGCAGUGGGAGCACAGAGCAAUCUGUGUGACUGCGUACCUUUUGUAUAAUGGGUCAGCGACUUAUAUUCUGUAGCAAGGUUAACCGAAUAGGGGAGCCGAAGGGAAACCGAGUCUUAACCGGGCGUUAAGUUGCAGGGUAUAGACCCGAAACCCGGUGAUCUAGCCAUGGGCAGGUUGAAGGUUGGGUAACACUAACUGGAGGACCGAACCGACUAAUGUUGAAAAAUUAGCGGAUGACUUGUGGCUGGGGGUGAAAGGCCAAUCAAACCGGGAGAUAGCUGGUUCUCCCCGAAAGCUAUUUAGGUAGCGCCUCGUGAAUUCAUCUCCGGGGGUAGAGCACUGUUUCGGCAAGGGGGUCAUCCCGACUUACCAACCCGAUGCAAACUGCGAAUACCGGAGAAUGUUAUCACGGGAGACACACGGCGGGUGCUAACGUCCGUCGUGAAGAGGGAAACAACCCAGACCGCCAGCUAAGGUCCCAAAGUCAUGGUUAAGUGGGAAACGAUGUGGGAAGGCCCAGACAGCCAGGAUGUUGGCUUAGAAGCAGCCAUCAUUUAAAGAAAGCGUAAUAGCUCACUGGUCGAGUCGGCCUGCGCGGAAGAUGUAACGGGGCUAAACCAUGCACCGAAGCUGCGGCAGCGACACUGUGUGUUGUUGGGUAGGGGAGCGUUCUGUAAGCCUGUGAAGGUGUGCUGUGAGGCAUGCUGGAGGUAUCAGAAGUGCGAAUGCUGACAUAAGUAACGAUAAAGCGGGUGAAAAGCCCGCUCGCCGGAAGACCAAGGGUUCCUGUCCAACGUUAAUCGGGGCAGGGUGAGUCGACCCCUAAGGCGAGGCCGAAAGGCGUAGUCGAUGGGAAACAGGUUAAUAUUCCUGUACUUGGUGUUACUGCGAAGGGGGGACGGAGAAGGCUAUGUUGGCCGGGCGACGGUUGUCCCGGUUUAAGCGUGUAGGCUGGUUUUCCAGGCAAAUCCGGAAAAUCAAGGCUGAGGCGUGAUGACGAGGCACUACGGUGCUGAAGCAACAAAUGCCCUGCUUCCAGGAAAAGCCUCUAAGCAUCAGGUAACAUCAAAUCGUACCCCAAACCGACACAGGUGGUCAGGUAGAGAAUACCAAGGCGCUUGAGAGAACUCGGGUGAAGGAACUAGGCAAAAUGGUGCCGUAACUUCGGGAGAAGGCACGCUGAUAUGUAGGUGAAGUCCCUCGCGGAUGGAGCUGAAAUCAGUCGAAGAUACCAGCUGGCUGCAACUGUUUAUUAAAAACACAGCACUGUGCAAACACGAAAGUGGACGUAUACGGUGUGACGCCUGCCCGGUGCCGGAAGGUUAAUUGAUGGGGUCAGCGCAAGCGAAGCUCUUGAUCGAAGCCCCGGUAAACGGCGGCCGUAACUAUAACGGUCCUAAGGUAGCGAAAUUCCUUGUCGGGUAAGUUCCGACCUGCACGAAUGGCGUAAUGAUGGCCAGGCUGUCUCCACCCGAGACUCAGUGAAAUUGAACUCGCUGUGAAGAUGCAGUGUACCCGCGGCAAGACGGAAAGACCCCGUGAACCUUUACUAUAGCUUGACACUGAACAUUGAGCCUUGAUGUGUAGGAUAGGUGGGAGGCUUUGAAGUGUGGACGCCAGUCUGCAUGGAGCCGACCUUGAAAUACCACCCUUUAAUGUUUGAUGUUCUAACGUGGACCCGUGAUCCGGGUUGCGGACAGUGUCUGGUGGGUAGUUUGACUGGGGCGGUCUCCUCCUAAAGAGUAACGGAGGAGCACGAAGGUUGGCUAAUCCUGGUCGGACAUCAGGAGGUUAGUGCAAUGGCAUAAGCCAGCUUGACUGCGAGCGUGACGGCGCGAGCAGGUGCGAAAGCAGGUCAUAGUGAUCCGGUGGUUCUGAAUGGAAGGGCCAUCGCUCAACGGAUAAAAGGUACUCCGGGGAUAACAGGCUGAUACCGCCCAAGAGUUCAUAUCGACGGCGGUGUUUGGCACCUCGAUGUCGGCUCAUCACAUCCUGGGGCUGAAGUAGGUCCCAAGGGUAUGGCUGUUCGCCAUUUAAAGUGGUACGCGAGCUGGGUUUAGAACGUCGUGAGACAGUUCGGUCCCUAUCUGCCGUGGGCGCUGGAGAACUGAGGGGGGCUGCUCCUAGUACGAGAGGACCGGAGUGGACGCAUCACUGGUGUUCGGGUUGUCAUGCCAAUGGCACUGCCCGGUAGCUAAAUGCGGAAGAGAUAAGUGCUGAAAGCAUCUAAGCACGAAACUUGCCCCGAGAUGAGUUCUCCCUGACCCUUUAAGGGUCCUGAAGGAACGUUGAAGACGACGACGUUGAUAGGCCGGGUGUGUAAGCGCAGCGAUGCGUUGAGCUAACCGGUACUAAUGAACCGUGAGGCUUAACCUUACAACGCCGAAGGUGUUU